rnacentral:rRNA from 1 species
CGGCAUGCCUUACACAUGCAAGUCGAACGGGCAGCUACGGGAGCAAUCCUGGUGGCGAGUGGCGAACGGGUGAGUAAUAUAUCGGAACGUGCCCAGUCGUGGGGGAUAACGUAGCGAAAGUUACGCUAAUACCGCAUACGAUCUAAGGAUGAAAGCGGGGGAUCGCAAGACCUCGCGCGAUUGGAGCGGCCGAUAUCAGAUUAGGUAGUUGGUGAGGUAAAGGCUCACCAAGCCAACGAUCUGUAGCUGGUCUGAGAGGACGACCCAGCCACACUGGAACUGAGACACGGCCCAGACUCCUACGGGAGGCAGCAGUGGGGAAUUUUGGACAAUGGGCGCAAGCCUGAUCCAGCAAUGCCGCGUGCAGGAUGAAGGCCUUCGGGUUGUAAACUGCUUUUGUACGGAACGAAACGGUGAGCUCUAAUACAGUUUGCUAAUGACGGUACCGUAAGAAUAAGCACCGGCUAACUACGUG